CCUACGGGCGGCAGCAGUGGGGGAUAUUGCACAAUGGGGGGAACCCUGAUGCAGCGACGCCGCGUGAGUGAAGAAGUAUCUCGGUAUGUAAAGCUCUAUCAGCAGGGAAGAAGCAAGACGGUACCUGACUAAGAAGCCCCGCCUAACUACGUGCCAGCAGCCGCGGUAAUACGUAGGGGGCGAGCGUUAUCCGGAUUUACUGGGUGGAAAGGGUGCGUGGACGGCAUGGCACGUCUGAAGUGAAAGCCCUGGGCCCAACCCCGGGACUGUGCUGGAAACUGCCAUGCUAGAGUGCUGGAGAGGUAGGUGGAAGUCCUAGGGUAGCGGUGAAAUGCGUAGAUAUUAGGAGGAACACCAGUGGCGAAGGCGGCUUACUGGACAGUGACUGACGUUGAGGCUCGAAAGCGUGGGGAGCAAACAGGAUUAGAUACCCCAGUAGUC
rnacentral:rRNA from 1 species